UACGUAGGUGGCAAGCGUUGUCCGGAUUUAUUGGGUUUAAAGAGCGCGUAGGCGGCCAGAUAAGUCCGGUGUGAAAGUCACAGGCUCAACCUGUGAAUGCCGCUGGAAACUGUCUGGCUAGAGUCCGGGAGGGGCGAGUGGAAUUCCUGGUGUAGAGGUGAAAUUCGUAGAUAUUCGCAAGAACACCAGUGGCGAAGGCGGCUCACUGGCCCGGUACUGACGCUGAGGUGCGAAAGCGUGGGGAGCAAACAGG
rnacentral:rRNA from 1 species